rnacentral:rRNA from 1 species
CCUACGGGAGGCAGCAGUGGGGAAUAUUGGACAAUGGGGGGAACCCUGAUCCAGCCAUGCCGCGUGUGUGAAGAAGGCCCUCGGGUUGUAAAGCACUUUCAGUGAGGAAGAACGCCUGGUGGUUAAUACCCAUCAGGAAAGACAUCACUCACAGAAGAAGCACCGGCUAACUCCGUGCCAGCAGCCGCGGUAAUACGGAGGGUGCGAGCGUUAAUCGGAAUUACUGGGCGUAAAGCGCGCGUAGGUGGCUUGAUAAGCCGGUUGUGAAAGCCCCGGGCUCAACCUGGGAACGGCAUCCGGAACUGUCAAGCUAGAGUGCAGGAGAGGAAGGUAGAAUUCCCGGUGUAGCGGUGAAAUGCGUAGAGAUCGGGAGGAAUACCAGUGGCGAAGGCGGCCUUCUGGACUGACACUGACACUGAGGUGCGAAAGCGUGGGUAGCAAACAGGAUUAGAUCCCCUGUAGUC